rnacentral:rRNA from 1 species
GCUUACGGCCACACCGCCUGGUUCACGCCCGAUCUCGUUUGAUCUCGGAAGCUAAGAUUGGGCCUGGUUAGUACUUGGGGGGACCGCCUGGGAAUCCAGGUGCUGUAAGCU